UAAAACCAGCACCCCGAGUGGUCGGGACGAUUAUUGGGCCUGAAGCAUCCGUAGCCGGUUCUACAAGUCUUCCGUUAAAUCCACCUGCUCAACAGAUGGGCUGCGGAGGAUACUAUAGAGCUAGGAGGCGGGAGAGGCAAGCGGUACUCGAUGGGUAGGGGUAAAAUCCGUUGAUCCAUUGAAGACCACCAGUGGCGAAGGCGG
rnacentral:rRNA from 1 species